rnacentral:rRNA from 1 species
UACGUAGGGGGCUAGCGUUGUCCGGAAUCAUUGGGCGUAAAGAGCGCGUAGGCGGCUGGAAUAGUCCGGUGUGAAAUCCACAGGCUUAACCUGUGAAUGCCGCUGGAAACUGUCUGGCUAGAGUCCGGAAGGGGCGAGUGGAAUUCCUGGUGUAGCGGUGAAAUGCGCAGAUAUCAGGAGGAACACCAAUGGCGAAGGCGGAUCUCUGGGCCUUACCUGACGCUGAGGCGCGAAAGCUAGGGGAGCGAACAGG